GCAAACAGGAUUAGAUACCCUGGUAGUCCACGCCGUAAACGAUGUCUACUUGGAGGUUGUGCCCUAGAGGUGUGGCUUUCGGAGCUAACGCGUUAAGUAGACCGCCUGGGGAGUACGGUCGCAAGAUUAAAACUCAAAUGAAUUGACGGGGGCCCGCACAAGCGGUGGAGCAUGUGGUUUAAUUCGAUGCAACGCGAAGAACCUUACCUACUCUUGACAUCCAGAGAAUCUAGCGGAGACGCUGGAGUGCCUUCGGGAGCUCUGAGACAGGUGCUGCAUGGCUGUCGUCAGCUCGUGUUGUGAAAUGUUGGGUUAAGUCCCGCAACGAGCGCAACCCUUAUCCUUGUUUGCC
rnacentral:rRNA from 1 species